UUGACCUCGGAUCAGGUAGGAUUACCCGCUGAACUUAAGCAUAUCAAUAAGCGGAGGAAGAGAAACCAACAGGGAUUGCCUCAGUAACGGCGAGUGAAGCGGCAACAGCUCAGAUUUGGAAUCUGGUCCCUCGGGGCCCGAGUUGUAAUCUGGAGAGGAUGCUUCUGGCGCGGCGCCGUCCGAGUUCCCUGGAACGGGACGCCGGAGAGGGUGAGAGCCCCGUACGGUCGGACGCCUAGCCUGUGUGAAGCUCCUUCGACGAGUCGAGUAGUUUGGGAAUGCUGCUCAAAAUGGGAGGUAAAUUUCUUCUAAAGCUAAAUACCGGCCAGAGACCGAUAGCGCACAAGUAGAGUGAUCGAAAGAUGAAAAGCACUUUGAAAAGAGGGUCAAACAGUACGUGAAAUUGUUGAAAGGGAAGCGCCCGUGGCCAGACUUGUGCCCGGCAGACCAUCCGGCGCCCCCGCGCCGGUGCACUCUGCCGGGCGCAGGCCAGCAUCGGUUUUCCCAGGGGGAUAAAGGCGGCGGGAACGUGGCUCCCUCGGGAGCGUUAUAGCCCGCCGCGUCAUGCCUCUGGGGGGACCGAGGACCGCGCAUUUAUGCAAGGAUGCUGGCGUAAUGGCCACCGGCGAC
rnacentral:rRNA from 2 species